GACGAACGCUGGCGGCGUGCUUAACACAUGCAAGUCGAACGGAAAGGCCCAGCUUGCUGGGUGCUCGAGUGGCGAACGGGUGAGUAACACGUGGGUGAUCUGCCUCUAACUUCGGGAUAAGCUUGGGAAACUGAGUCUAAUACCGGAUAGGACAAUCGCUUAGUGUCGGAUGUGGAAAGUUCUUUCGGUUAGGGAUGAGCCCGCGGCCUAUCAGCUUGUUGGUGGGGUAAUGGCCUACCAAGGCGUCGACGGGUAGCCGGCCUGAGAGGGUGGACGGCCACAUUGGGACUGAGAUACGGCCCAGACUCCUACGGGAGGCAGCAGUGGGGAAUAUUGCACAAUGGGCGCAAGCCUGAUGCAGUGACGCCGCGUGGGGGAUGACGGCCUUCGGGUUGUAAACCUCUUUCGACAGGGACGAAGCUUUGGUGACGGUACCUGUAUAAGAAGCACCGGCUAACUACGUGCCAGCCGCCGCGGUAA
rnacentral:rRNA from 1 species